UUGUGGUCGAUAAUGCGAAUACUAAACAUCUGUUGGUAAUGUAAAACUUUCGGUAUACGAAACAAAAGGACACGUUUACGCAAUAAAAGACGAAUGUCUCAAUUAUGGAUCAACGAGCCAAAUCCAGUCAGUUCAACUGGUCCAAGCAGCAGCGUAUGUUGCGCGUAACGGAAUCUGUUUGACGAGAACGGCGAUUCGUUUGCUUAAAAUUUAAAGUGAUCACGGGAUACAGCGACGUGGCGUGUGCAUCGGCACGUAUACCGAAAUGUGUGCUGGUCUAUGUAACAGGGCUGAUUUGCAAGGAAGGAACAAAAUAAUAAAGCGCAAUUGCGCGAGCCCUCGAUUAUUUCAUUGUACGUUGACGUCAAGUUAUACACCGACCAAUCAUCGAGCUCGCGCAUCGACGAGCCCCCAGUGAAGAUCGACGAACACGCGUACAAUUUCCUCACGAUUUUAAUGAUCGAGUCUCAUGGAAGCUCGAUAUUUGACCUUCCCUCUUUCAAUGACACGCUAGUUAGUCAAAUGAAAUUCAUUGUUUCAAGUAACUUUUUAUAUUAUAUCAUUUGCUAAUUUAUUGACCGCUUUCGGAUCGAUCGGUAACUUUCUUUUUGAAAAUCGAAUUCGUGAAUCCAUAAGCGUACUGCGAAUUUAUAUUUUCGAUGGAAAUUCAUAUUUUUAUAUACACAAAUGAAAAAGUGGUAUCUAGAUAGAGAUUUAUAUUCUAUUCCUUAUAUAUUAUAAAGAAACGAUAUAUUAUAUUUUUAUACGUAUACGCAAAUGUAAAAUAAAAUUAACAACGGCUUAUAAUAUUUAUUUAUAAAACGAGAUGUAUAUCGCUAGAAGCAUUCGAACGUGCGUCUUAUUUAAUUUCACUUUAGAAACUUUAUAUUAAAUUUACGUAUACUUUUUCAAUAUUUUUAUAUAUUUUCCCGUAUUAUGCAUAUUUUCUGUAUUUCUAUACAUUUCGACUUCUUAUAAAUGUAUAAGCAUACGUUAGUUUACCGAUAACUCGCAAAAUCGUUAACUCAUCUAAUGAAAACAAAUGUAAUGAAUUUGUUUUUCCAAUUAAGUUUUUAUUAUUGUCUGUAAGGAGAAAGUUGCGUUUAAAUAAUGAUGAAAAAAGACGAGAGUAAGCCGGAAUUUAGGCCAGUGACAAAACGAAACGGAGAUACAGCUGCCAACUUUUACUCGAAUCUCAUCUUCUCGGUCGAGGUUCUCUACUACCUACGCGACUAUCCGACAUUCGACCCAUGACGUUGCAACGUGACGUUCUUCCCGCGCUUCUUGCGUGUUUCAUGCAACAUUCGAAUUAUUGCUGUUUCACGGUUUUGAAAUUUUGAAGUUUAUCGCUCAUUUCUCAGGAUUUUAUAAUCUCGAAAGAUCAUACUAAUACUGUUGCGAUAAACAGCGGAUUGAAAGUCACACUGAUAUAAAUCAUGAUUUUGAAAAUGUAGAUCUAGUCACAUAUUUCAACUUUCAAAAGAAUCGUUCUUUUCGUUUCAUAAUUAAUUAAACAUUAUAAUCAGAAUGCGAAUGUUUAUGCAUUUAUGGGAAAUUAAAAUAUACAAAAAUGUACAAAAUAAUAUAACAGGACCUUUAAGAUGCGUAAAUUCAAUAAGCAGUAGUUUAUUUAAUCGGGUACUGAAACUAAAACUUCAUUGAACCAACUUCAUAUAAAACAAGUUUCACUGCGUAACUAUCUCCUUAAUCGUAGUUCAACAAAAAGGCUUCAACAAAAAGUAGUCUACGAAAUUAAAGUCAUCUAAUUUUCUAACCAGACAAUCUCCGUAGUAGCAGGAUUACUUGCCAAUUUCUUGGUUUUUUUUUAGCUUCGACGAAGAUUUUUUCCUCAAUACUAUCGACUGUACGAAUUGAAGUUGCCGCGACUGAAAUUGCAUCGUCAGUUAGCACACAUCUCAUCGUACGAGAUUGUACAAAGUCUCCUAGCGCUUCUCAUUACGUCACAAGAGUUAAAAUAACCUGCUCAUUUGUAGUAGACGAUCGAACAUUCGUCACGACCAUGGUAUCGCUCAAAUAAAACCACCAUAGAAACAUGCGAGAACAGUAAAAUCUGCAGACGUUCGAUAGUAUGACCUUUUGAACUUGGCAUCGAUACUCCAAUCAUCGUGAUACGUAUACAUACUUACAUACGUGUAAAAGCAAUGCACUAGUCGAAUAGUGCAAGAUUGGAAUAAGAAAAGUUCGAAAAUCUUCAAAAGGAUUAGCACAUAUUUAGAUUCUUUGUACAACUACGUCAAAUCUUAGGGGAGAAUCGUAGUUGUUAAUUAAAGAUGCAAAAGCACGAACGAAAAGAAGGAAGGAGAAGGUGGAGGAAUGAGAGUCGCUGAGGAUCGAGCCCCCUUGGUCGAACCAAUCGCGAGACGCCUCGAAACCAACGCCUACCAAUUCGACCAAUCGGGGAUUAAGACUUCCGAAGGCGCGACCGCGCGAGGCAAACGUACCUUUGUCCACACUAUCGGCGAACCAGAUGGAAGAAAGAGGAAAAAUUAGCACGUAACAAACCCACUCACACCCCCGAUUAACCACUCUUAAGAUAGGAGCAAACGAAUCGCACAAUCUUGAAAGCGAAAACACACGCGAUACAAAUAGCUAUCAACGAAAUACUACAGACACGCAGUAACACGCAGUAGAUACCGUUGAUGACGAAAUCAAGUUAAUCGAUUUGUUACAGAAAAAAGUAUUCACUAUUCACUGUUCCG